CUUUCUUGAUUCGGUGGGUGGUGGUGCAUGGCCGUUCUUAGUUGGUGGAGCGAUUUGUCUGGUUAAUUCCGAUAACGAACGAGACUCUAGCCUGCUAACUAGGCGAUUUCCGGUACCCACAACAGUGUUACCGGCGAUUCAAUUUCUUCUUAGAGGGACAGGCGGCUCCUAGCCGCACGAGACUGAGCAAUAACAGGUCUGUGAUGCCCUUAGAUGUCCUGGGCCGCACGCGCGCUACACUGAAGGAAUCAGCGUGUCAUCCCUGGCCGACACCACCGGCCGCCGAUGUUGCCGGAAAGAUGACCAAACUUGAUCA
rnacentral:rRNA from 1 species